UACGGAGGGUGCGAGCGUUGUCCGGAAUCACUGGGCGUAAAGGGCGCGUAGGCGGCCUGAUAAGUAGGGGGUGAAAUCCUGCGGCUUAACCGCAGGGCUGCCUUCUAAACUGUCGGGCUCGAGCACAGCAGAGGCAGGUGGAAUUCCCGGUGUAGCGGUGGAAUGCGUAGAGAUCGGGAAGAACAUCAGUGGCGAAGGCGGCCUGCUGGGCUGUUGCUGACGCUGAGGCGCGACAGCGUGGGUAGCGAACAGG
rnacentral:rRNA from 1 species